rnacentral:rRNA from 1 species
GACGAACGCUGGCGGCGUGCUUAACACAUGCAAGUCGAACGGAAAGGCCCUGCUUUUGUGGGGUGCUCGAGUGGCGAACGGGUGAGUAACACGUGAGUAACCUGCCCCUGACUUUGGGAUAACUUCAGGAAACUGGGGCUAAUACCGGCUAGGAGCUCCUGCUGCAUGGUGGGGGUUGGAAAGUUUCGGCGGUUGGGGAUGGACUCGCGGCUUAUCAGCUUGUUGGUGGGGUAGUGGCUUACCAAGGCUUUGACGGGUAGCCGGCCUGGGAGGGUGACCGGCCACAUUGGGACUGGAAUGCGACCCAGACUCCUACGGGAGGCAGCGGUGGGGAAGAGUACACAAUGGGCGGAAGCCUGGUGCAGCAACGCCGCGUGCGGGAUGACGGCCUUCGGGUUGUAUACCACUGUCGCCUGUGACGAAGCGUGAGUGACAGUAAUGGGUAAAGAAGCACCGGCUAACUACGUG